UUCAUCUCCAGUCUCCAAGCAGCUGCUGCUGGGCGAUAAACUGCAGUGACCAGCAGAGGUCCCCCGCAGCUUGCUGCUGUCAGUGCAGCCAGCGGCUGGAGAGUGGCAGGUGGAGCUGGGGAACAUUCCUGCAGCAUGUGCGCGAAAUCAGUGAAGUGCUGUUUCUCCACUGCCUGCUCCUCAGUGGCUUCUGCCCUCCCCAGAGCUGGUGCUCCUUACUGCCUGAUCAAGCAUAUUUGUGUAUGUACCUGCCUACCUACAUAGAAGAAUGAUACCAUUCUCAUGAAAAUGCCACUGGAUAUUGUGGUGAGAUGCAUCUUCCCAAGAUCUAUAGAUGUGCAUGUAGGAGACAGCAUCAUGCUGCCAGUCACUGCUGUACACGGAACAUAUAGGAGCGCUUGCUUCAGCUCCAACUGGAUAAGGAGCGCUUAACAAGUGCAAGGCAGGGAGGAUCCUUGUGUUUUGGAUUUUUCCCAGACAGGGAAAGUGUUAAAUAUGCUUCAUUUUUUCCUCUCUUGCUGUUUUGGGAAAUGCGUUCUGCCUGACUUAAUCUGUUCCUUCUAUUAUCUACUUCCUAUGUAUUCUUUGCUGAUACUGAGACCCCGGUAUACUGGCUGCUGAAGGAAGAUGGAAGGUAGAGAAAAUGUUUUAUUUUUAUCUAACAUGUCAGAGGAAAGAUAGUGACAUUUUGGAGACGUCAAACUCUAAUCAUUAUGACUGUUCUGUUAAUAAAAAGUAAACACACAUUCUCCCACCACGGAUUGCUAACAAAUUCUUAGACGUCACAGGAAUAAAGAAGUUCACUAGUUGUCUUCAUUUAAUUUCCUACUGCCAAAUUACAAUUUCAUGUUUUGAUCAGUAUAAAUAGUGGGGGCACAGAUAUUAACUCCAUCCAGGCAAAUGGACAGGGCUCUCAUAAAAUCACCAGCAUGCAGACUAAUCUUUGUGAGCCCUUGAAACUAGACGAAGGCUUAUUCAAAUGGUAGGAUGUUUCUGUGUGUCACACACAGUAAAAGUGAGUAGAAUUUGAUCUGAAAAGAGUCAUUACUGAAUAAAACAUUAUAUUAUAGAAACAGUCCUAAACAUAGCAGGAAAAAAAUGGUUGAAACUCUGAAAGUAUAUAAAGAAAGGAAGAAAUUAACUAUAAAUAGCAAGUAAGAAGGAAGGUAACAGUAAAAAUAAAAAAUACAUUAAAAGAAAUCUGGAAUAAAUAGUAGAAAAUGAAAUGAUGCAACUCCCUUCUUACACCAUUUUGUUACAUUACAUGGUAAAAUAAGGUUAAUGACACAUCACGAUGGCAAGAAAAUGUGUGGACGUAAGUUGGGCAUAAUUUGCUGUAACUUUUACAAAACUGCAUCCUUGUCUUCUCCAAUCUGAGGAUUUAGUUAUUUUUUUUUUUACCUAAGUUUAUCUAAGAAGAAUAACCAUAAGUAUUUUCAAAUUAAACAAUUUUAAACUUUUAAAAAGCUACCUAGAAUGUAUUGUUUCAAUAUCCUGCGCUGUUUGUACCCUAUAAAAUGACAUACUGUAGGUUGUUAGGAGAUAAUAAUCUGCAAAAUGCAAUAGUCAGUGUCCAGGCAGAAACUAUUUAAGUGUGUCACUAUUGAAAACAAAGAACAAUGGGUUACUGGGAACUAGACUUCAGGGAAAUACCUUAAUGACAGAGACAAUGAUAUUACCAACUAGUAUGUAAUAAUCUCCUUACCCGAUGAUAGCCUGAGUCUCAAAGGUCUCAAAACUGUAACGUUAGAAUAAUUUGAGCGUUCCUUCAAAUAAAAGAACUGCUUCCACUUUUAACGACUAUCUGGAAAGGAAGUAUCCCAAGGCAAAUAAAAUAAAAUAAAAUAAAAUAAAAUAAAAUAAAAUAAAAUCGCGAGCCUUCCCAUCCACUCAUUUACAAAAAUAAUAACUUCAUUUUUCAGACUGGAAAUGCUAUAUUAAGGAGACUAUCAGAUUGGGAAUUCAAAUAGAGAAAAAGAAAGAAUCACCAGCUAGACCCAGGGAGAAGUUUGA